GACGAACGCUGGCGGCGUGCUUAACACAUGCAAGUCGAACGAUGAACCCGGAGCUUGCUCUGGGGGAUUAGUGGCGAACGGGUGAGUAACACGUGAGUACCCUGCCCUGGACUCUGGGAUAAGCGUUGGAAACGACGUCUAAUACCGGAUAGGACCUUGGAUCGCCUGAUCUGGGGUGGAAAGUUUUUUCGGUCUGGGAUGGACUCGCGGCCUAUCAGCUUGUUGGUGAGGUAAUGGCUCUCCAAGGCGGCGACGGGUAGCCGGCCUGAGAGGGUGACCGGCCACACUGGGACUGAGACACGGACCAGACUCCUACGGGAGGCAGCAGGGGGGAAUAUUGCACAAUGGGCGAAAGCAUGAAGCAGCAACGCCGCGGGCGGGAUGACGGCUAUCGGGUUGUAAACCGCUUUUAGUAGGGAAGAAGGGCUACGGCUUGACGGUACCUUCAGAAAAAGGACCGGCUAACUACGUG
rnacentral:rRNA from 1 species